rnacentral:tRNA from 4 species
GGGUCGCUAGCUCAAUGGUAGAGCACCUCCCUCUUAAGGAGAUGGUUCCCGGUUCGAGUCCGGGGCGACUCA